CUCCAUCCUCCCUUUGUCCUCAGACAGCCUCUGGAAUAUUGCUUCAAUCAGCUGCCGAAUAAUCUGACAGUGAAGGUGAAUAUUUAUAUGCAGAGCUCGCUAUCAAUGCUGAUGUCAUUGUAAGUCCACUUUCUGUCUGCAGGCUGAAGAAAGGAGAGCGCAGGAGGGGGAUGAGAGAAGGAGCCCACCCAACUGAGCGCCUGUCUGUCUGCUGCAAAACGGAUUGUAAUUUUCUUCCCAAAGCUGAAUGAUGGUCCGAGUGAUGUGCAUGGAGUGAAAACACCACAGAGACUUUAGCAACAGUGGCGACAGUGAUCAGUGUCACACCCAGGAAUCUCAGGGUGGGAGGAUGCAGCUUCACUCAUCUUUGACUAUGGCAUAAUAUGGACUGCAUUAGCUUCCGAUAUUCUAUAUGUUUAGAAAGUAAUGUGCGUUCAGACAAAAAGAAAGAGUUAUCAUCUGACCACAUUUUGGAAAUAACAAACAGCAAUGGGUUGUGCCAUUUGCACACAGUUGAUUGAUAUGUGGAGUGUGUCUGGCUCACAAAGAGGCCAGAUAUCAAUGGACAUGUCUCAUUUGCCAAAGGUCACUCAGCAGGACUACCACAGACUCUCGGGCCUCCACUAUACUUCCUCUUUCUCUGAUGCGGAGGACUGUUGUGAUGACAUCACAAGCACAAGCUCCUCCCCCUCCUCGAACUAUCUCAGAAUAGACUGUUGAUACUUGUGGUUUCACACUUCUGCAGGAUACUCAAACCUUGUGCCAAAUAUUUCCAUUCUUUUUUGGCUCCAAAUUCUGUCACUUGCAAUAUGACAGUGUGACACUGAAAGAUGCUUAGUCUGCCCAAAUUAAACUAAUGAGGUCCUUGUCUUGACUGUGUGGAAAGGAAUUGUGCUCUCUGCAUCCACAAUGUUCCCCAGUUCAGUUCCUGCUCAAUUUGAGCAACAAACCCAUUAUUGUCAGGGAAAAGCGAUGGGUCUAGCUGUUAUGGAUGCUGAAAUUGGACCUUAUUCAUUUAGAAUCACCUUUUCUUUUAUCAUUCUGGAUAAAAGAACACUGGUUUGGGAAUAGGAAUGCAGAUUCUAUGAUGAUAAGACUUUAAUGGUUUCUUCUCUGAGUAAGGAAAACCUUCAAAAUGAACAUUGUGAUAAAAUGAUGCUGUUGUUUUAAGCCUAAAAAAGUAUAUAUGUGGCUCCUCUGUGUUUUUUUCUAUUUAUCUAUUUAUUAUGUUUUUAAGAUCUGAUUAAACAGUACUGUUAAAGCCUUUAAAGAGUUGAAUCUAAUCACAAGGGUCUAAUAAUUAAUUGCUUGCUGUGUUGCUGCACUUAAAAGGAUAUUUCACCCAAAAAUGAAAUUACUGUUAUAAUUUAUUCAAGGUCAGGGUCCAAACCUGUAUGUCUUUCUCUUUCUUCUGCAGAACAGAAAAUAUUCUACAGAAUUGUAUGAAAAAAAAGGAUAUGCCUUUUCACCUCUUGCUUUUAAAAGCGCAAGAGGGUAGUGGAACAGGGGCGUUUUGCAAGGGCUUGAGAUGAAAGUUUAGAUAGCUAGUGAACGUUUACAAAACAAACAAACAAAACUAUUGAAAGGUAGUUCAGUGGAAUGCAAACAAGCUAUAUGUGAACAGCCCCUUACAGAAUU